rnacentral:other from 1 species
GGGCCCCUGCGCGGUUGGUGAUGAGCGAAACUAUUCUUGAACCAACACCUAUUUGAUGGGCUCCGGGUCCCAUCCUCCCUUGCAGCCUCAGGGCGAGCGAACGGAGGACGGGCAGGGCCCCUACCUGUGGUUUACAGGUUCAAAUGGGUUUGCUCACACGGCCGAGGUGGGGGCCCU